CAAUAGCGUAUAUUAAAGUUGUUGCAGUUAAAAAGCUCGUAGUUGGAUUUCGGGGCAGCCUGGCUGGUCCGCCGCAAGGCGAGUACUGGUCAGCCGCCCCUCCUCUCGAAAGCCCCGACUGCUCUUCGUUGCAGUGGUCGGGUAGUUCGGGACGUUUACUUUGAAAAAAUUAGAGUGUUCAAGGCAGGCCUACGCCUGAAUACAUUAGCAUGGAAUAAUGGAAGAGGACCUCGGUCCUAUUUUGUUGGUUUCCAGGGCCGAAGUAAUGAUUAAGAGGGACAGUUGGGGGCAUUCGUAUUUAAUUGUCAGAGGUGAAAUUCUCGGAUUUAUGAAAGACGAACAACUGCGAAAGCAUUUGCCAAGGAUGUUUUCAUUAA
rnacentral:rRNA from 1 species